GAUAAAAGGAAAUAGUACAAAUCCUUAUCCUAAAGUAAAAAGGAAAACCUCUUAUAGAUAAACAUGAAGAGAAAAGGAAACUUCCUAAAUCUAAGGUCGGUCCAAUGCUUUGGCCGACUCUCUCUCCUUGUGCGGACACGGUCUUGGACUUGGGCCUGGACGCGGUCCGUUCUUCCUUUACAUGGUUACUAGCAAUCCACAUGUG
rnacentral:lncRNA from 1 species